UACAGAGGGUGCGAGCGUUAAUCGGAAUUACUGGGCGUAAAGCGCGCGUAGGCGGUUUUGUAAGUCGGGUGUGAAAUCCCCAGGCUCAACCUGGGAACUGCAUUCGAGACUGCAUAGCUAGAGUAUGGGAGAGGGAAGUGGAAUUUCAGGUGUAGCGGUGAAGUGCGUAGAUAUCUGAAGGAACAUCAGUGGCGAGAGCGACUUCCUGGACCAAUACUGACGCUCAUGUGCGAAAGCGUGGGGAGCAAACAGG
rnacentral:rRNA from 1 species